GCCGGAUUAGCUCAGUUGGCAGAGCGGCUGAUUUGUAAUCAGCAGGUCGUGGGUUCGAUUCCUGCAUCCGGCACCA
rnacentral:tRNA from 1 species